rnacentral:misc_RNA from 1 species
GAACGCGAAUGGCACUGCUAUGUAAGUAGCAGUAUGUCUGUUUGAGAAUCGCAAAACACGAUCAACUCUAGUUAAGAGUUGGGAUUGACCUCAUAUGCUUUCUAGCGUAUCUGGUUUGAAUGUAUUAAGUUGAUGAGCUUCCCAACAUUGCUCAAUGUGUGCUAGCGAGACAGUCGUCCCGAUCUCACAUUAUAGUUUUGUUGCAAGGUUCUGUGCACAACUUUUUAUUUAUUUUAUCAAGUACGAUCUCAAAUCAGGCAAGAUUACCCGCUGAACUUAAGC